rnacentral:lncRNA from 1 species
CAUCCCUGUAAGUCAGUUGUAGUAGAUACUGCUAUUAGGGGAAUUAUGGUAAUAGGAAAUGCUAGAGCUGUAAUACCAGGAAGAAAACUAGGGAAAAGACUGGAUCUUGUGCUCUUCCCUCUAUACUACUUCUUGUUGCCCUUCAACUGUCUUGAAGAUUCUUCUCAUAAAUGUCAGAGAAGGAAGUUAAGUUCAAGCAGCUGGACUUUCCUAACUGCCCCCUUCAAGAUUCCAUUGGAACUCUCUCCAACUCAGAUGAUUGAUGUUUUACCAAGUUCUAAGCUUCUUGCUUUUUCUACAGAUCCAUUUUGUCACUUCCCAAAAUUGUUGUUCACACAGUGAUGGGUAGAUCAAGGCAAAUAUAAAAAUAUGAAGAAAAUAAAGUCCAACCAUUCUGGAAAGCA